AGAGUUUGAUUAUGGCUCAGAACGAACGCUGGCGGCGCGUUUUAAGCAUGCAAGUCGAGCGGCAAGGGCCUUCGGGCCCCUAGGGCGGCGGACGGGUGAGUAACACGUGGACAAUCUGCCCCCCGGCCGGGGAUAGCCCAGGGAAACCUGGAUUAAUACCGGAUGAGACGGGACCCGCGGAGGCGGGAUCCGGGAAAGGCGCUGCGGCGCCGCCGGGGGAUGAGUCUGCGUCCCAUUAGCUUGACGGCGGGGUAACGGCCCACCGUGGCGACGAUGGGUAGCCGGCCUGAGAGGGUGGACGGCCACAUUGGAACUGAGACACGGUCCAGACUCCUACGGGAGGCAGCAGCUAAGAAUCUUCCGCAAUGGGCGAAAGCCUGACGGAGCGACGCCGCGUGAACGAAGAAGGCCGUGAGGUUGUAAAGUUCUUUUCGGGAGGGGGAACAACCGUGGCAGGGAAUGGCCGCGGGAUGACGUGAAUCCCGGAAUAAGCCCCGGCUAACUACGUGCCAGCAGCCGCGGUAACACGUAGGGGGCGAGCGUUGUUCGGAAUCAUUGGGCGUAAAGGGCGUGCAGGCGGUCCUGCAAGUCCGGCGUGAAAGACCCCGGCCCAACCGGGGGGGAGCGCUGGAAACUGCAGGGCUUGAGUACAGGAGGGGAUGCCGGAAUUCCAGGUGUAGGGGUGAAAUCUGUAGAUAUCUGGAGGAACACCAAUGGCGAAGGCGGGCAUCUGGCCAUGUACUGACGCUGAGACGCGAAGGUGCGGGGAGCAAACAGGAUUAGAUACCCUGGUAGUC
rnacentral:rRNA from 1 species